CCACCAGCUCUGGGGAAGUGCUCCACUCCCCAGCCCUGAUGUGAGGGAGUGGAGCACUUCACCGGAGCCAGGGAGCCUGCGUCCGACCCCCGGCCUCAGCCCCUGGCCUCCUGGGUUCCGGAGCCCCAGCCUCCGGCCUCCAGCCCCCUUUGGAAAGUGUCCCACACCGGACCGAGGUGGCAUGCUCACAGACCGCUGCUCCUUAGAAGGAACAUUGGUGAGAUCCACCAGCGCCUAACUCCUAGCUUUCUCCCAGGAAUGAAGAAACUCAGGUGCCAAACACUGACUGAAGACGGUUGAUUUUGGCAGCUUAUGGGUCUAUUACUUUACUAAACUCAGGGGGGGAAGUGAGUUUUAAUUUAGUAACAGCUGUGAAAUUUCUAGUGGUCAACUGAAGAGGUCUAAGAAGGGUGAGAGGGAAAUUUCCAGAUCCCUUUUAGGGUUCUGCACAGGUCAAACUUUUACUAUUUCCAGAACUAUAUUCCUAACGAUGCCUUUGUCUUUGCAACCUAGUGCUGUUACUAAGCUUUUCCAACUUACCUUUACAGGUAGAAGCAGCUGUAUUGAAAAUGUUAUCUUUUACAUCUGGGCUGUUCCGGUGUGGUUUAGCUCUCCCUGAUUUCUCAUAGUAACAGGGAGUCACCUAGCGCCUGUUGCAUCACUGUUUUACAGUGAAAUGGCUAAUUUAUGUGCACACUUCAGCAGGUUUACCCUCUAACUUACCAUCCAGCAACCAGCUGUACUGCUCCAAGGUUUUCAGCUCUCUCAGCACCAGCUGUGUCAUGAUGUCAUCUGGAAUAAGCUGCCCUCGAUCAAUCAAAAUUGUCCAGAU